GUUUAAUGAUAUUUUUUAUGUUAUUACCCAACAGGAUACGUUUAGGAUACAGAGGACUUUGGGAGGUGCCUCAAGCUCCAUGAUCCUGGGGGAUUAGGACUACGGUGUGGAAGCUGCCUGAGAGGAAAGGUUAUCAGCUGGUUUGUCUGCGCACAGGGACCUCUAGAUACUGGAGCACUGGCCACAUGACCAAACGAUGAGUCUGGGGAGCGGUCCUCAGCGAGGGAGAAUCUGGAAGACACCAAGGCUACAAUGGAGUAAAGGAAUGCAAUCUGAUCUGUUGCUCCCCGGAUCUCUCCUUGACCUGUACUGUAAGGUCAUCAACGAGGGACACUGUUUUAGCCAUCUUCCAAGUGAAUGUAGUGUGACUUUGUUGUUGUUGUUGUUGUGUGUUGUUUUUUUUUUAAAACAAACUUCCAGUGUCUAACUUUUUAAUUCUUGCCAUAACACCAGCUGGCUCGUAAUUAACCGCUGGCAUCAUCAAUAUCUCGUCAAAGUUAAUGAGUUUUUAACAUAAUUUUUAACUGCUCUGAA
rnacentral:lncRNA from 1 species